UACGUAGGGGGCUAGCGUUGUCCGGAAUCAUUGGGCGUAAAGCGCGCGUAGGCGGCCCGGUAAGUCCGCUGUGAAAGUCAAAGGCUCAACCUUUAAAUGUCAGCGGAUACUGCCGGGCUAGAGUCCGGAAGAGGCGAGUGGAAUUCCUGGUGUAGCGGUGGAAUGCGCAGAUAUCAGGAGGAACACCAACGGCGAAGGCAGCUCGCUGGGACGGUACUGACGCUGAGGAGCGAAAGCGUGGGGAGCGAACAGG
rnacentral:rRNA from 1 species